GAUGAACGCUGGCGGCGUGCCUAACACAUGCAAGUCGAGCGAUUCUCUUCGGAGAAGAGCGGCGGACGGGUGAGUAACGCGUGGGUAACCUGCCCUGUACACACGGAUAACAUACCGAAAGGUAUGCUAAUACGGGAUAACAUAAGAAAUUCGCAUGUUUUUCUUAUCAAAGCUCCGGCGGUACAGGAUGGACCCGCGUCUGAUUAGCUAGUUGGUGAGGUAAUGGCUCACCAAGGCGACGAUCAGUAGCCGACCUGAGAGGGUGAUCGGCCAAAUUGGAACUGAGACACGGUCCAAACUCCUACGGGAGGCAGCAGUGGGGAAUAUUGCACGAUGGGCGAAAGCCUGAUGCAGCAACGCCGCGUGAGCGAUGAAGGCCUUCGGGUCGUAAAGCUCUGUCCUCAAGGAAGAUAAUGACGGUACUUGAGGAGGAAGCCCCGGCUAACUACGUGCCAGCCGCCGCCGUAACAC
rnacentral:rRNA from 1 species